AGCGAACGCUGGCGGCAGGCCUAACACAUGCAAGUCGAACGAACCUUUCGGGGUUAGUGGCGGACGGGUGAGUAACACGUGGGAACGUGCCUUUAGGUUCGGAAUAACUCAGGGAAACUUGUGCUAAUACCGAAUGUGCCCUUCGGGGGAAAGAUUUAUCGCCUUUAGAGCGGCCCGCGUCUGAUUAGCUAGUUGGUUGAGGUAAUGGCUCACCAAGGCGACGAUCAGUAGCUGGUCUGAGAGGAUGAUCAGCCACAUCGGGACUGAGACACGGCCAAAACUCCUACGGGAGGCAGCAGUGGGGAAUCUUGCGCAAUGGGCGAAAGCCUGACGCAGCCAUGCCGCGUGAAUGAUGAAGGUCUUAGGAUUGUAAAAUUCUUUCACCGGGGACGAUAAUGACGGUACCCGGAGAAGAAGCCCCGGCUAACUUCGUG
rnacentral:rRNA from 1 species